UGCCCCAUAGUGUAAUGGCAACACACAAGGUUUUGAUCCUUGUACUNCAGGUUCGACCCCUGUUGGGGCAACAA
rnacentral:tRNA from 1 species